rnacentral:rRNA from 1 species
GACGAACGCUGGCGGCGUGCCUAAUACAUGCAAGUCGAACGCAGUGGGGACGGGUGAGUAACACGUGGGUAACCUCCCAUCAGAGGGGAUAACACUUGGAAACAGGUGCUAAACCGAUCUAUUGGAGCGGCCGAUAUGGGAUUCGCUGGUUGGGGGGGUAAAGGGUCACCAAGCCGACGAGCCGUAGCAGGUUUGCGAGGCGGACCGGCCACACUGGGACUGAGAAACGGCCCAGACUCCUACGGGAGGCAGCAGUAGGGAAUCUUCGGCAAUGGACGAAAGUCUGACCGAGCAACGCCGCGUGAGUGAAGAAGGUUUUCGGAUCGUAAAACUCUGUUGUUAGAGAAGCGGUAUCUAACCAGAAAGCCACGGCUAACUACGUGCCAGCCGCCGCGGUAAUAC